CCUACGGGAGGCAGCAGUGGGGGAAUCUUGCGCAAUGGGCGAAAGCCUGACGCAGCCAUGCCGCGUGAAUGAUGAAGGUCUUAGGAUUGUAAAAUUCUUUCACCGGGGACGAUAAUGACGGUACCCGGAGAAGAAGCCCCGGCUAACUUCGUGCCAGCAGCCGCGGUAAUACGAAGGGGGGCUAGCGUUGCUCGGAAUUACUGGGCGUAAAGGGGAGCGUAGGCGGAUAGUUUAGUCAGAGGUGAAAGCCCAGGGCUCAACCUUGGAAUUGCCUUUGAUACUGGCUAUCUUGAGUAUGGGAGAGGUUAGCGGAACUCCGAGUGUAGAGGUGAAAUUCGUAGAUAUUCGGAAGAACACCAGUGGCGAAGGCGGCUAACUGGCCCAUUACUGACGCUGAGGCUCGAAAGCGUAGGGGAGCGAAACAGGAUUAGGAUACCCGUGGUAGUCCACGCCGUAAACGAUGAAGUGCUAGUUGUCGGCAUGCAUGCAUGUCGGUAGACGCAGCUAACGCAUUAAGCACUCCGCCUGGGGACUACGGUCGCAAGNUUAAAACUCAAAUGAAAUUGACGGNNGAGACGNGCGAGACGACGACGAGGAGAGG
rnacentral:rRNA from 1 species